AUCUAAUAAACGCAUGGACUGUCAAUAAGUUUCAAUUAGUUUUCGUUUAGCAUUAAAAUACCCUGAUCCUAUACCAAACGGAGCUGCUUCUUGCUUCAUUUACACCUAAGGAUCGAAUCACAUUUGAAUUGACUAGAGUAAUCAUGCGACCCAUAUACUACUUAUUACAUAAUGAUCGAAACCAAAAUAAACCUAAGCUAACAAAUUUGAAAAUACGCAACAGCUGAUAGAAUUAUACACCAAUUCCUUAUAAUAGACAAAACCAGAAUAGACAUGAACAAAUAUGCUUCAGCUUGUGGUUUCCAUUUCCUUUCCCCAAAUUUCAUGACAAUCAGCUAAGUUUACAACGCGUGUACCUGGAUAUGACCAAAGAUAAUGGUAAAUUCGAGUCAAGGGGCAGAAAGUAACAAGCAAUAGCAGUGAGCAGCAAUUAGCAGUAGUUUCAAAUGGAUUUUGAAUCCAGGAAAUAGUGUCAAAUAGAUCCAAAACAAACUUUGAAUGUGCACCAACAAUAUAUAACCCAAAAUCAACUUGAAUGACCAAAACACAGCUUGAAACCAACCCAGGAAUUCUGGACUUUCAAUUACCCAAACACUAGGAAUAUCCAAACCAUCUUCAGCGUUAUAUAAGCUAGAAAUUUGAAUUAACAGCUGGAACUCAAAAAUUAUCCUAAGAAACUCCAAUGGAAUAGUAAUUUUUUGAAGUUUUGAUCGCUUGCAGUUUCAGGACUUUGCAGUUUUUCUAAGACUAAUAUAUUUCUUUUUGAUUUUUGAAUAUUUGAUCUAACUAUGCUUCUCCCUUUUAAUUUCAAAUUGCAGAUAUCUAAAUUUCCCAAAAAAACGCAACCCCCCUUUUUAGAGGCAAG
rnacentral:lncRNA from 1 species